AAGUCGUAACAAGGUUUCCGUAGGUGAACCUGCGGAAGGAUCAUUACCUAGAGUUUGCAGACUUCGGUCUGCUACCUCUUACCCAUGUCUUUUGAGUACCUUCGUUUCCUCGGCGGGUCCGCCCGCCGAUUGGACAACAUUCAAACCCUUUGCAGUUGCAAUCAGCGUCUGAAAAAACAUAAUAGUUACAACUUUCAACAACGGAUCUCUUGGUUCUGGCAUCGAUGAAGAACGCAGCGAAAUGCGAUAAGUAGUGUGAAUUGCAGAAUUCAGUGAAUCAUCGAAUCUUUGAACGCACAUUGCGCCCCUUGGUAUUCCAUGGGGCAUGCCUGUUCGAGCGUCAUUUGUACCUUCAAGCUCUGCUUGGUGUUGGGUGUUUUGUCUCGCCUCCGCGUGUAGACUCGCCUUAAAACAAUUGGCAGCCGGCGUAUUGAUUUCGGAGCGCAGUACAUCUCGCGCUUUGCACUCAUAACGACGACGUCCAAAAGUACAUUUUUACACUCUUGACCUCGGAUCAGGUAGGGAUACCCGCUGAACUUAA
rnacentral:rRNA from 1 species